AACGUAGGAGACAAACGUUAUCCGGAGUUACUGGGCGUAAAGGGCGUGUAGGUGGUAUCGUAAGUCUGGCGUGAAAUUUCUCGGCUUAACCGAGGCAGGUCGUCGGAUACUGCGAGGCUAGAGGACGGUAGAGGCGUGUGGAAUUCCGGGUGUAGUGGUGAAAUGCGUAGAGAUCCGGAGGAACACCAGUGGCGAAAGCGGCCACCUGGACUGCACCUGACGCUGACACGCGAAAGCUAGGGGAGCGAACGGG
rnacentral:rRNA from 1 species